CAGCCGGUAGUCUAGCCCGGACAAGGAUGCGGGCCUCUCGAGCCCGUGACCCGGGUUCAAAUCCCGGCCGGGGCA
rnacentral:tRNA from 1 species